GACGAACGCUGGCGGCGUGCUUAACACAUGCAAGUCGAACGGAAAGGCCCUGCUUUUGUGGGGUGCUCGAGUGGCGAACGGGUGAGUAACACGUGAGUAACCUGCCCUUGACUUUGGGAUAACUUCAGGAAACUGGGGCUAAUACCGGAUAGGAGCUCCUGCUGCAUGGUGGGGGUUGGAAAGUUUCGGCGGUUGGGGAUGGACUCGCGGCUUAUCAGCUUGUUGGUGGGGUAGUGGCUUACCAAGGCUUUGACGGGUAGCCGGCCUGAGAGGGUGACCGGCCACAAUGGGACUGAGAGAGGGCCCAGACGCCUACGGGAGACAGCAGGGGGGAAUAUGGCACAAUGGGCGGAAGCCUGAUGCAGCAACGCCGCGUGCGUGAUGACGGCCUUCGGGGUGUAAACCGCUGUCGCCUGUGACGAAGCGGGAGUGACGGUAAUGGGUAAAGAAGCACCGGCUAACUACGUG
rnacentral:rRNA from 1 species